rnacentral:tRNA from 10 species
UCGGUAGAGCGGUGGUCUCCAACUCCGGAGGUCCCCGGAUCGACUCCCC